rnacentral:lncRNA from 13 species
GUGAAGUAGUGACAUGUGACAUAGGCCUAGUUUCCUGAAAUGAGUCACUUGUUUAUUGAGUGAUAUUUUAUCACUUUCACAGGCUACAUACAAAACCUGGUGGAUGUGUUGUUCAACAGCAUUGUGGGAACACCCUACCAUAUCAGGAGGUGUUACAGAAGGCUGAGGCACUGGCCAGACACCAGCCCUGCUUCAGAGUAAUGGAGGACACUUGAAUCAGAUGGAGGACAGAAGAGAUGCUUUUGAAAUGGAUACCCUGUCUGAAAAACAGGAUGAUACUGGAUGUCUGACUUGGCAGGGAGGAGGUGUGUGGCGAACAAGGAAAGCUUUUAUGGACUCCCCACCAGCGACACUCCACGCGGCUCCAUUUUGAAAUUAUCGGGUCCCCUUGCUUUUGAAGUCACUGAGCUGGCAGAUGGAAGUGUGGAAAUGCUGGCUUCUGAGGACUUGGCUGCAGUGCCAUCUGCUGGUGUGAAAACAAACAGACUGCACAGGGGUAAAGCAACAACAACAACAACUGGUAAUCAGCAUCAUCAACAACAACAAACAUCUGAAGGUUUGGCUUGGGGAAGGCAAGUUAUCCAAAUAUUUCAAUGUGCUGUAUAUCGUGUUAGUCUUCAUUUUCUUCAGUUGUCUGGCUGUAUUGUGACCUACGGCACUUGCUAAGAUGACACUGUGUCGAGAAAGGUAUGGUAGUGACU